CACACCCCAACACACACGCCCUGUCCCCUUUCUCCACCCUGCAAGCUAGUUGCAUUUAGCUCACAGAGCCUGGGCUGCGACUUGAAAGAGUUUAGGCAGCAACAGAGUGACCCUGGGGGUGCUCUUGACCGACAGCCGCACCCCCGGCGUCUAGGACCUCCGAGCAGGGAUGCAUCUGGAGGUCUAGGGAAGCACUUCCACCCCCUCCUCUCCUCAAUCCUGGCAGGAUGUGCCCGAAAUGCCAGCUCCUCCUUGGUGUUCUCCUUUCAGGAUUUGAAUUCAAAUCCCAUUGGCAGCCCUGAUACCGCUGGGGGAAGGGUGAGUGAGCCAUUCCUCUCCCUUGGAAUUCAUCAGAGUCAUCCCUGUAGAGCCCCCUUCCUGCCUCUCAAUUCCUCCUGCCUCACUUCCCAGGCUACUGCUGCUUCAAGACAGUGACGUUUCUCUCCGGUCAGCUGUCAGGAGCGCUGCUGGGUCUUACUGGGGAUCUGGCCAGCCUUGGGGGCCCUUGGAGCCCUGGCCCAGUGGAAGCUCGUGCCUGAGGAACAUGGAGGCCACGCUAAUGAGUUACUUCCAGAGUCUUCAAGAGUGCCAACUGGGACCAGGACCCCAGACCACAGCCCCCCACACCGUCCUGGACCUGGAUUCUGACUGUGGUUCCACUGUACCCCUCACCUUAAUCUCUGGUUCUAACCAGACCUGAGCCUAGACUUCCACUUUUUCCCUUACCCCUGUGAGGGCCUGGGAACACUAGGUGGGCAGGGUUUGAGCCCACAGGACCUGCACACAAACUUCCCCACCUCUUGGACUUGGGGACAGGAUCUGUGCCUCAACCCAGACCAGCUUUGUAGGGAUAUGUUCCAAGAACAGAGAAGAGUCUUAUGGGGAAGGGGGAGGAAGGGAAGUAUGAAUAUUUACCUCUGACCAAUAAUAGAGGUGCCCUGGUCCCCAAAGAAAUUGACUCCCGAAUUCCCUCCAAGCCUUACCCAUAUAGCUUUUGUUUGUUUGUUUGUUUUCAGACAAGGUCUUGUUCUGUCCAGUGCCGUGGCGUGACCACAGCUCAUGACAACUUUGAUUUCCCCGGCCCAAGCGAGCCUCUCAUUCAGCCUCCUGAGUGGCUGGGACCACAGACGCCACACACAGCUAAUUUUUAUGUAUUCGUUUUUAUUUUUUUGCAGAGACAGGGUCUCCCUAUGUUGCCCAAGCUGGUCUUGAACUCCUGGGCUCAAGUGAUCCUCCUGCUUCAGCCUCCCAAAGUGCUAGGAUUAUAGCCACCGCACCUCGUCUUGAAAUAGCCUUUUAAAUGUUCACCUCAGCUUGCCUCACAGUGGUAAAAAUAAGCAUUUUUUUGUUUUGUAGGAUCAGGGAGCUUCCAAGGCAUUUGAUACCUUUUUGAUGGGAAGAAGGGCUCUGAGGAGCUCCAAGAUACCCCAACCUCCAGGCCCUUCAUUAGGGGGUAGUUGGGUUUCUGUUUGGCCUUUCCCCCUGGGCCCCAUAGGCUUAAACUACCCCCACCCCCACCUCCGCCUCCUACCUCAGCUGGGAGCACUGUCUUCCAUGGGGCUUCCACUUCUCUCCUCAACCUGGGGAAGACCACAGGGCAGUGCCUGCCUCAGGACCUGCCUUCCCCAAAAGCUGGCUUCUUGCUCCAAGGAGAGAGCAUUGACCCACCUGCCAGAGUCUUGCCUUUUGCCCAAAGGAGCCUGGUCUUCAGGGCUGCAUAGGAUGCAAGUGCCUUCUCUGCUUCUCACCGUGGGUGGCACUAAUUUCCUCCUUAACCAGAACUUUGUUCCAGCCACUGACCCAUUCUAACUCUUCCCCCUCUGACUCUCCUGCGCAGGGUCUGUUCCUGGUUUCCCAGAUGCAUAAAGGAAGACAUAUCCCUCCCCUGGGCAGCAAGGCUACAAUGGGAGGGAGGGAGAACAUGGGAGCAUGUGAAUAAAAUGGCAUUAAAUACUGAA
rnacentral:lncRNA from 1 species